UUGAGAAGGCAUGUGCGGACGAU
rnacentral:piRNA from 1 species